rnacentral:rRNA from 1 species
AGAGUUUGAUCCUGGCUCAGGAUGAACGCUAGCGGCAGGCUUAACACAUGCAAGUCGAGGGGUAGAGUUAGCUUGCUAACUUGAGACCGGCGCACGGGUGCGUAACGCGUAUGCAAUCUACCUUGUACAGAGGGAUAGCCCAGAGAAAUUUGGAUUAAUACCUCAUAGUAUCUUCGGAAGGCAUCUUCUGAUUAUUAAAGUUUCAACGGUACAAGAUGAGCAUGCGUCCCAUUAGCUAGAUGGUAAGGUAACGGCUUACCAUGGCAACGAUGGGUAGGGGUCCUGAGAGGGAGAUCCCCCACACUGGUACUGAGACACGGACCAGACUCCUACGGGAGGCAGCAGUGAGGAAUAUUGGUCAAUGGAGGCAACUCUGAACCAGCCAUGCCGCGUGCAGGAAGACGGUCCUAUGGAUUGUAAACUGCUUUUAUACGGGAAGAAACACUGCUACGUGUAGCAGCUUGACGGUACCGUAAGAAUAAGCAUCGGCUAACUCCGUGCCAGCAGCCGCGGUAAUACGGAGGAUGCGAGCGUUAUCCGGAAUCAUUGGGUUUAAAGGGUCCGUAGGCGGCCUUAUAAGUCAGUGGUGAAAUCUCCUAGCUCAACUAGGAAACUGCCAUUGAUACUGUAGGGCUUGAAUUAUUGGGAAGUAACUAGAAUAUGUAGUGUAGCGGUGAAAUGCUUAGAUAUUACAUGGAAUACCAAUUGCGAAGGCAGGUUACUAUCAAUAUAUUGACGCUGAUGGACGAAAGCGUGGGGAGCGAACAGGAUUAGAUACCCUGGUAGUCCACGCCGUAAACGAUGGAUACUAGCUGUUCGGAGCAAUCUGAGUGGCUAAGCGAAAGUGAUAAGUAUCCCACCUAGGGAGUACGCACGCAAGUGUGAAACUCAAAUGAAUUGACGG